rnacentral:rRNA from 1 species
GAUGAACGCUAGCGGCAGGCCUAACACAUGCAAGUCGAGGGGCAGCGAGAUGUAGCAAUACAUUGUCGGCGACCGGCGUAAGGGUGCGUAACACGUGAGUAACUUGCCCGUAACAGGGGGAUAAGCGAUGGAAACGUCGUCUAAUACCCCAUAAUAAUUGUUAUCGCAUGAUGAUGAUUUGAAAAUUCCGAUGGUUACGGAUAGACUCGCGUUACAUUAGCUAGUUGGUGAGGUAACGGCUCACCAAGGCGACGAUGUAUAGGGGUUCUGAGAGGAAGAUCCCCCACACUGGAACUGAGACACGGUCCAGACUCCUACGGGAGGCAGCAGUGAGGAAUAUUGGACAAUGGAGGGAACUCUGAUCCAGCCAUGCCGCGUGAAGGACUAAGGCCCUAUGGGUCGUAAACUUCUUUUGACGCAGAGCAAUAAGAGAUACGAGUAUUUUGAUGAGAGUAUGCGUCGAAUAAGCAUCGGCUAACUCCCGUGCCAGCAGCCGCGGUAAUACGGAGGAUGCGAGCGUUAUCCGGGAUUUAUUGGGUUUAAAGGGUGCGUAGGCGGUUGUACAAGUCAGUGGUGAAAUACGAACGCUCAACGUUCGGGCUGCCAUUGAAACUGUACGGCUAGAGUUCGGAUGCCGUGGGAGGAAUGAGUAGUGUAGCGGUGAAAUGCAUAGAUAUUACUCAGAACACCGAUUGCGAAGGCAUCUCACGAAUGCGAAACUGACGCUGAUGCACGAAAGCGUGGGGAUCAAACAGGAUUAGAUACCCUGGUAGUCCACGCUGUAAACGAUGAUAACUAACUGCCGGCGAUAAACGGUCGGUGGCCAAGCGAAAGCGAUAAGUUAUCCACCUGGGGAGUACGACCGCAAGGUUGAAACUCAAAGGAAUUGACGGGGGCCCGCACAAGCGGAGGAACAUGUGGUUUAAUUCGAUGAUACGCGAGGAACCUUACCCAGGCAUCGAACGGCAUAUGAAUAUUGCAGAGAUGUGAUAGUCUUCGGACAUAUGUCGAGGUGCUGCAUGGUUGUCGUCAGCUCGUGCCGUGAGGUGUCGGCUUAAGUGCCAUAACGAGCGCAACCCUUGUCGUUAGUUACCAUCAAGUAAAGUUGGGGACUCUAACGAGACUGCCACCGCAAGGUGUGAGGAAGGGGGGGAUGACGUCAAAUCAGCACGGCCCUUACGUCUGGGGCGACACACGUGUUACAAUGGUAGGUACAGAGGGCAGCUAUUGAGUGAUCAAGUGCAAAUCUCAAAAACCUAUCUCAGUUCGGACUGGAGUCUGCAACCCGACUCCACGAAGCUGGAUUCGCUAGUAAUCGCGCAUCAGCCAUGGCGCGGUGAAUACGUUCCCGGGCCU